UCCUCGGUAGUAUAGUGGAGUAUUCCCGCCUGUCACGCGGGCGACCCGGGUUCGAUUCCCGGCCGGGGAG
rnacentral:tRNA from 1 species